AACGAACGCUGGCGGCGUACUUAACACGUGCAAGUCGAACUAGAAAAGAGACCUCGGUUUCUGAGUAAAGUGGCGGACGGGUGCGUAACACGUAAGUAACCUACCUCAGGCUCUGGGAUAACUUCCCGAAAGGGGAGCUAAGACUGGAUAAUAUCUUAUCAUGAAAGUGAUAAGAGAAAAACAAGCCUCUGUUUUUAUGCUUGUGGCUUGAGAUGGGCUUGCGGCUCAUUAGCUAGUUGGUAGGGUAACAGCCUACCAAGGCAACGAUGGGUAGCUGGUCUGAGAGGAUGAUCAGCCACACUGGCACUGAGACACGGGCCAGACUCCUACGGGAGGCAGCAGUGGGGAAUUUUGCGCAAUGGGCGAAAGCCUGACGCUGUAACGCCGCGUGGAGGAUGAAGGCCCUCGGGUUGUAAACUCCUGUCAGAGGGAAAGAAGAGGGCCAAUGCCAAUAGCAUUGGUUGUCAGACGGUACCCUCAAAGGAAGCCCCGGCUAAUUCCGUGCC
rnacentral:rRNA from 1 species